CCUACGGGCGGCAGCAGUGGGGAAUAUUGCACAAUGGGCGCAAGCCUGAUGCAGCCAUGCCGCGUGUGUGAAGAAGGCCUUCGGGUUGUAAAGCACUUUCAGCGGGGAGGAAGGCGUUAAGGUUAAUAACCUUGGCGAUUGACGUUACCCGCAGAAGAAGCACCGGCUAACUCCGUGCCAGCAGCCGCGGUAAUACGGAGGGUGCAAGCGUUAAUCGGAAUUACUGGGCGUAAAGCGCACGCAGGCGGUCUGUCAAGUCGGAUGUGAAAUCCCCGGGCUCAACCUGGGAACUGCAUUCGAAACUGGCAGGCUAGAGUCUUGUAGAGGGGGGUAGAAUUCCAGGUGUAGCGGUGAAAUGCGUAGAGAUCUGGAGGAAUACCGGUGGCGAAGGCGGCCCCCUGGACAAAGACUGACGCUCAGGUGCGAAAGCGUGGGGAGCAAACAGGAUAGAUACCCCUGUAGUC
rnacentral:rRNA from 1 species